UACGUAGAGGGCAAGCGUUGUCCGGAUUUAUUGGGCGUAAAGAGCUCGUAGGCGGUUCGAUGAGUCGGCUGUGAAAUCUCCACGCUUAACGUGGAGGGGGUCAGUCGAUACUGUCGUGACUCGAGUCCGGUAGGGGAGAAUGGAAUUCCCGGUGUAGCGGUGAAAUGCGCAGAGAUCGGGAGGAACACCCGUAGCGAAGGCGGUUCUCUGGGCCGGUACUGACGCUGAGGAGCGAAAGCGUGGGGGAGCAAACAGGG
rnacentral:rRNA from 1 species